CUUCCUUAUUGUAAACAUUCUCCUAGUUUCCAAUAAAAUCCCAAGCUUUCAUUUAUAUUCGCUUCCACACCCCACGCUCAUCUAAUAUCUAAAUUCAAGACUAUUCAAGAACUUUAAUUACAAGCUUCUAGAUUGGAAAUGUGGUGCUGAAAUAUCAUUAGGAAAUUUAGGUGUGGAAAUUCCUGGAAUAGCUUCUAUCAUUUUUUUCUAAUUUAUUUCCUAUUGUUUGAAUUUUUGUAUCUAAAUAUUCUACAUUUUGGGAUACCGAAUGUAAUAAUUGAUUUGUAUAAUUAUUUUGA